rnacentral:rRNA from 1 species
UACGUAGGGGGCUAGCGUUGUCCGGAAUCAUUGUGCGUAAAGGGCGCGUAGGCGGCCAGAUAAGUCCGGUGUGAAAGUCACAGGCUCAACCUGUGAAUGCCGCUGGAAACUGUCUGGCUAGAGUCCGGAAGGGGCGAGUGGAAUUCCUGGUGUAGCGGUGAAAUGCGUAGAUAUCAGGAGGAACACCAAUGGCGAAGGCAGCUCGCUGGGACGGUACUGACGCUGAGGCGCGAAAGCGUGGGGAGCAAACAGG